CGACAAAAACUAAACUAGCCCAACUUAAUAUAUAUUAAACGUAUGUGUAAAAUAUGGUGUUAAACAAAUGCUUCAAUUAUUUUAAAAUGAGAAAAAUUCAGCAAUAGUUUCUAAACUAUUGUGCCAAGACCAACUGAUACUCAAACUCUGAAAAAGUAUCAAUGUGAUACCCAAACAAUGAUUUUGACAUCACUGAGAUACCUCCGUCUAAUUUUCUUAACAAAACCGUUUAUUUGCUGACGUGACAUGUACAUAGAAACCAAAAUGAAAUCAAAUAACCUAUUUACCCUUAUUUAUUUAUGUUAUUUCUCUCUCUUUUUUUCUUUUUCUUUUUCUUUUUCUUUCUUGUUCUUCUUGUUAGCCAAACCACUAUUCACUCUUCUCUAUACCAUCUGAGACUGAGUUUAUCAUCUCACACACAAAACAAAUCCAAAUACAUCCAAACACAAGAAAUAGAGCAUAUAAAACGCAGGACUUUGGCUUGAUAAAACUAAACACAAACUACUUGAAAAUCAAAACCCAAGCCCCCACUGUUCUCAAAGUGUGCUCACUACCACUUAUCUCAUCAAUCGGUUGCCCAAUAGAGUGCUUGGUGAUAAAUCUCCUCUUGAAGUGUUGAAAGGAAGAAAGAUCGACAUUUCUCACCUGAAAGUGUUUGGCUGCUUGUGCUUCGUUCACAUACAAGCUAAUAAAAGAGGGAAACUUGAUCCUCGAGCUGAAAAAUAUGUGUUUUUUGGGUAUUCAUCCACCCAAAAAGGAUACAAAUGCUACAGCCCCUCCUCUAACAAGAUCAUUGUUUCCAGGGAUGUUAGAUUUGAUGAGAAUAGUCAUUUCUUUGCAGGGAAAUCAAAUGGUUACAAUCAGGGAGAGUCUCUGUUUGAUUUGUUUCCAACUCCCAGCAUUCCAGUUUAUGAGGAUGGCAAUGUGCUUUCCAAUCCUCCUACUACAGUUCAAGAAGCACAGGACGCAAAUCUUGAUCCUGAGUGUGAUCAAGCUGAUGUGCAACCUGUUGUUGACCAAGUUCAACCUAGUCCAAUGGCCAUUCGAAGGAAUCCCUCAAGAGCAAGAGGACCUCCAGUAAAACUUAAGGAUUAUGUGACUUACACAGCAAGGUAUCCAAUGACAGCCUUUAUUUCUUACAAGAAAUUUUCUGCUUCUCAUGCUGCAUUUCUUAGCACUCUUGAUGCUGCUCAUGAACCUCAAAGUCUUGAUGAAGCAAAUCAAUAUGAAGUGUGGAAACAAGCUGUGGCAGAUGAAAUUCAAGCUCUUAAUGAGAAUAAAACAUGGAGUGUGGUUAAGAUUCCUCAAGGGAAGAAGACAGUAGGCAGUAGAUGGGUUUAUAAGACCAAGUUUCACUCAGAUGGUACUGUAGAAAGACAUAAGACUCGAUUGGUAGCUCGGGGUUUCACUCAAACAUAUGGAGUUGAUUACAAAGAAACCUUUGCUCCUGUUGCAAAAAUGAGUACUGUUAGAGUUCUUCUUUCGGUUGCUGUGAAUCAUGGUUGGCCUCUUUUUCAAAUGGAUGUGAAGAAUGCUUUUCUACAUGGUGACCCUGAAGAAGAAGUUUAUAUGAAAUUGCCUCCCAGCCAUUAUCAGUUUUCUAAUCCUAGUAUAGUAUGCAAACUUCACAAAGCCAUUUAUGGCUUGAAACAAUCCCCUCGGGCUUGGUAUGCCAAGCUUAGUUCUGUUCUUGAAGAAGUUGGUUUUCAUAGCAGCAAUGCAGAUUCCUCAUUAUUUGUUCGAAUUGGUUCAACAAGUAAGCUUAUGGUGCUUAUCUAUGUUGAUGAUUUAAUUGUGACAGGUGAUAACCUAGAAGAGAUUAAUGUUCUCAAGCAAUCUCUUCGUAGCAAGUUUGCAAUUAAGGAUUUUGGGCGUCUUAAGUACUUCCUUAGUAUAGAAAUGACUACUUCUCACAAAGGGUUGUUUCUAAAUCAAAGAAAGUAUGUUCUUGAUCUGUUGAAAGAGUAAGAAUUUUGGGAUAGCAAACCAGCUAGCACUCCCCUAGAUAGCAAGCUUCAGUUUGAAACUUCAAGUGCUUUUCUCUCUGAUGUGACAUCUUAUCAAAGGCUGGUUGGUAAGUUAAUCUAUCUUACAAUUACUCGUCCAGACAUUACCUAUGCUGUGAGUAUUGUUAGCCAGUUAAGAGGAUUCUUCGCUAUCUUAAAGGCUUUGCUGGUAAAGGUAUUUUGUUGAAAAACAAUGGCAAUAUUAACAUCAUGGGGUAUACUGAUGCGGAUUGGGCUGUAACUCCCUUGAUCAAAAGUCUACUACUGGUUUUUGCACCUUUGUUGGGGGAAAUCUAGUUACAUGGAAGAGUAAGAAGCAAACGGUUGUGGCUCGUUCUAGCGCAGAAGCUAAAUAUAGGGCAAUGGCUGCUACUGCUUGUGAGCUUAUUUGGCUGAAGGGUUUGUUCUCUGAUUUGGGGUCCCCUUGUAGUCAACCAAUCUCUCUCUAUUGUGAUAAUCAAGCUGCCAUGCACAUUGCUUCCAAUCCUAUUUUUCAUGAAAGGACCAAGCACAUCGAAGUUGAUUGUCAUUAUAUUCGAGCUCAAGUUCAGUCCAAGCUCAUUGUCACUCAUUACACUCGCAGCUAUGAUCAGCUUGUUGAUAUCUUCACCAAGUCUCUUUCAACAUUCCAUUUUCAUCGUAUUUUGGGCAAGCUUGGCUCAAUGAAUCCUCUUGAUCCAGCUUGAGGGGGAGUAUUGAGAGUUAGAGAUUAGUUCUAAUUGAACUAAUCUAGUUCACUUUAGAUGCUACAGCUAUGCUACCAUGUACUGCUGGUGUGCUACCAAGUACUGUUGGUCUCCAUAGUCUCCCUAGUCUCAUUUUUCUGAAACAGCAAGUUGGUUGUUGCUGCUUGUCUCUCUCUUGCUGCAACAAGUUGGAGACAAAGUUGGUGACCUCGAUUUUGGUGCCACAGCUGUGGCUGUGGCUGAGUUUGCUUUAGCUUCGAUUCCGUUAUACGGUUCUUACUGUAUCUAUAUAUACUUGUUAUUAAACCUUGUAAAGUUUUUUAUCAAGAAAUAUAGAAGAAAAGCUUCCCCAAUCUUUGUGUUAGAUUUCUUCAGAAUCUUUUAAGACUAGCUUGUCGGUGAGUCAUUGUCUAACUAACUAAUACCGCAAAGACCAUGAGUUCAAAUCUCAUUAUCAUACUUACAUAUAUGUAAGAUGAGGAUGGACUAAGAUAGUAAAUAUAACUAAAAAAAAUCACAGAGAAAAAGAUUUUUUAGACUUCAUAUGGAACUUGCAACACUAGCAACAUAUGGAAAGGGAGACAAUAUAUGCAACCCAAGUUCUUUUGUCUCCGCCGUACCGAAUUAGAUGUUAGAACAAAACAACAAUUGAUUAUAAUUUUGACACAUGAAGCCAUUAGCCACGUACCUAAUAAUUCAUGAAAUAAUUACCUAAAAAAAAAGUGCUACACUGUUGAAUAACUUAUAGAUCAACACGAUCACAAAGAAUGCCUGGAAGCCUACGCUGCUGGUUGCACAGUUCACUCCCGCCGUCACACUGCCUAAACCUGAAAAUCACAAAAUGAAAUUAAAUCAGUAAAUCUAGAAAUUGGUCAAUAAGAAUUGUCAUAGUCUUUUUUUUUUUUCGAUUAGUAAGCAUUGUUAUAGUUCAACGUUACAAUUCUAUCAUAUAUUCCAAAACAUAGUUCGUACGUAUUCCCUACCACAUUCUCUAGUAUAAUUCGACGAACUAGAGCAGAGACACAGCUGCCCUUCAGUCUCGGUAUCAAACCCGCACGUCCCACCCGACGCCGCACACCUGUCGCAACCGGAAUCCGGCACGGCGAAGCUCAUCUUGAUCCCAUAAACCCAAUCCUGCGGCCCAAUCCCACUCAACCCGUCCGUGUUCGUCACCGUCGUGUAAUGCGUGCAGUCCAAGACAUUCAUGCUCAUGAACUUAACGGUGUCGUAACUCGUAAAGCAGCACGGCGGCGAAGUAGUGUUGGCCAUCAUGUGGAAAACCCUAAAAGCGUUGCACGAGCCGUAGAGCUCGUCGCAUGAGUGAGAGGAGAAGUUGAAGCAGAGGUAGCUGUAGUGGUUGAGGACAGGGGAGUCAAUAGAGCAGUUGAGGAGGGCAAAGACGGUGUCGGAGGUCGGAGGGAUUAGGGCUGACUGGAUGUCCGUCAUGAGGAAGUCGUGGUGCGGCUGGAGGAUGGAGCAGGUGGACAUGGCGGGGUCGUAAACGACGAUGGUUUUCUUGUCGUAGUUGAUGGACUCGACUUUGUAGGAGCCGGAGGGAGUGAGGAAGAAGAGGUCGGUGGAGCAGUUGAGCAUGCGGCGGAACUGCGGGGCACCGCAGCCGUCGUCGAGGCCAAAAGGGUAGUUUAUGGAGAUGUCGCCGCAGGAGUCGCGGCAUUGGGAGAGGGUUAGGGUAGGGAGAAGUGAGAGGAGGAGUGUGAAGUUGAUGAUGGUGAGUGGUUUAGAGAGAGGCCUCAUUUUUGUGUGAACAGAGUGAGUGAGUGAGUGAAGAAGAAGAAGUAGUGAGUAGUGAGGUGAGUAGUGAUGGUGAGGUAAGAUUAAUGGAGCGGGAUUUACUCCAGGAAUUAUGCAAUUGGGGACUUUUCGGAGACCGAAGAAGCAUUUGGGAUGCCUUUUGGGAGCUUUAUACAGGCUGUGAUGGGAUCCACGGGUAGAAAAGGUUGUAAAAGGGAGACGCAGAGGAUGAGUGUGAUAGCUUUGGGAUUCUGCAGCUAGGUGUUUGCGUUUGUAUAAGAAACCGGAUUUUUUCUGAACAAAAAAAAGAAGAAGAAGAAAAAGAACACAGGAAGACUGGGCCGGCUUCAUCAUAUAUGGCUUCAUGUCAGAUUCACAAUAGAUCGAUAUCAAUAGUNNNNNNNNNNNNNNNNNNNNAGUUCUUCUUUUAUCUGGAGGAGGAAAAGUCGAUAUCGUAUAUGGGACAUCUCAAUAUUUUGUUGUGUUGAUUCGAAAAGCGGAGUCUCAUUUCAAUUAAUAACAUCUAUGCAUCAAGCUAAAAUGAUUCGAAACUCGUUCAUAAUAUAAGAGGUGAACGUACAAUAGGUCUGCACAAAGCCUAAACACAAUAAUCUAAGCACAAUAUCUAAACACAAUAUCUAAACACAAUAAUCUAAGCACAAUAUAUACAAGUCACACGAAGCAAUCAAAUUAUUAACUAACCUAAAAAAGAAAACCUAAAGAAGCUGCAUAAGAUUAAAAGACCUCUCAAACCCUAUAUACAAUGGCCAAAAACGCCUAGAAGUUGUUGGCAAAACCAAAUAUGGUACCAUUAUUCAAGACUAGCAAGAGGCUAGGGCAAGAGAGAGCCAGCGAAGCUAACUUAUUCAAAAAAAUAACACUCCGGGGGGUUUCGAAUUGGAAUCGUUUUUGGUUCGUUCCCUCUUCUUAACUGAAUGUUUAGCUCUUAUUACUUUGCUAGGUUUUAGUAAGUUAAUUCAGGUAUAUUCAUACAAAUUUACCACAUUUGCGAUGAGAUACAAUGUCAAGUUUUGUGCAACUGACCAUAAGAUAUAUAUGGCAUGGAGUACCAUGACGGAUCCAAAGUUCAGGAUGCGUGUGUACGUACUCAGUUGAGUAGUGUUACGAUUGAAUGGAAAACAUAUUUGGGGGCCCAGUACCAAAAAAUAUAAUGCGGUGAAGGUGGAUCGAACACCUGACCUUUAGAUCUUCAGUCUGACGCUCUCCCAACUGAGCUAUCCCCGCAACUGGUAUGUAUUUUAGAAAAAAGAAUAUUGUUUAAUGUGAAAACUUUCCAACAAUCUAUUACACUCUACAAGAAUAAAGUAGAAUUGCCGGUCCUCUUUAGUCUGUUGGCUUUGUUGAAUGCUAAAUCCAUCAGCUCUAAGGUUGGACUGGCACAGAGAGAGAGAGAGACUUUUUUAAGUAAUAGUGUAAUACCUCUUUUUUGUUCUUUUUUUUUUUAAAGAAAGGCACAAGGAAAAGAAUUCUGUACAACCUAAUGGCAAUGGGUAGGGAUCAAAAUACCAUACAUGUACCCUUUUUCAUUCUUCAUUCAUGUAUCCGUUAUAUUCUCCGUAAUUAGAUAAUGAGGAUUCCCCGUCCUUUUUGGGGAUUACGUUCCCAUACCGGCCCCGCCUCGAUCCCUGUUAACAAUUAUGUAAUAAUUAUUAUUUUUAAAUAAUUACAUAAUAUAAAAAUAUGAAAAUAAAAUUAAAUACAUAUAUAAAUAAAUUUCUUUAUUCAAUUUAACAAAAACGAAUAUAAAUCUCAGCUAAAAAAGAAGUUUCUAUAAAUAAGAAGUUUCUAUAAAUAUUCAUUAAGAGAAUCAUAGUUAAAAAAUAUUACAAAUUUUUUUACAUAAAUAUAUAUAUUUAUAAAUAAUAUAUAUAUAUAUUAAAAAUAGAUAUAUAAUAAAUUGUAUAUAAUAAUAUUUAUAUUAUAAAUAGGUGGAGAUAGAGACGAAUAUCAAAUUAUCAUACCCGCCCAUAUCCUAUUCAAAAAUCCGAAUACUAAAAAUCUUCAUACCCAUUACCCGUUUAUCUCCCCAUAUAUUUCCCGUUAAGGUCGAAUACCAUGAAUACCCUACCCGUGUUGUCUAAGUUGGGACUCAAUGAUCUAAACAACUAAUACUCAUUCCGCAAUAUUCCAACACUGAUUAAUCAUGCAUACACAAACGCCAAGAAGGUACACGAAUAAAAGGUCUCAUUUAUGCAUACAUACAUGUAGAGAGGGAUAGAUCAGAUAGUACUAGUUAACGCAUUAAACAGUACUAAUACAUACGCAAUUGGUCACCACCAAGACCAUAAUACACAUCCUAGCUAGCUACUAAUUAACAUUCAUACAUAAGCUACGUACACAACGAUAACAAAAGUAAUACGCAAUUAGGUAUAUAUUGCUCCAUGUUCAAACAUUUGUAAAGCGCAGGUACCCUUUCUGGGAAGGAAGGUCCUUGGUCUUGUUGCCCUGAGGGAACAUCUUCUGGGCCUCCUCCUGCGACACAGUAGGAGAUAUCACAACAUCAUCUCCAGGCUUCCAGUUCGCCGGAGUAGCAAUUUUGUGAUGCUUCGCCUUUUGCAGCGACUCCAACACCCUCACCACCUCAUCCAUGUUCCGGCCAGUGGUCGACGGAUACAGAAAGCUCAACACCACCUAUUACAUAAUCACAAAAUUUAAUCACUACUGCAUGCCUCAAAAUUAUUCAAUCAACGAAGCACAUAAAGAACUAAAUGGCACCUUCUUGUCAGGGCCGACUAUAUGGAGAGCGCGGGAAGGUAGGCUGUUUCCGGAGGAGUCUUUCUCUUCGGGAUCCACCAUGUUGAGUUGCUUCAUGAUCUCUCUCUUGGUAUCGGCGAUGAUCGGAUAGUCCACCUUGCACCCGGCCUAUAAACAUUCAUGGAUCGAUGACAAACAAUUCAGAUCAGGUCAUCAAGUGGAAAGGAAAGCGCAAAUUACGACAGGCCGAUCUAGUAGUGAAACUCACACUGUAGGCUUCAAUGUCCUUGAUCCACUCGUUAUGAGACGAGACGUCGUCGCAGGACAAACCGAUCAGCUUGACUCCUUUCUCCUUGAACACCUUGGAGUACUCGGCCAUCUUCGCAAGCUCCGUGGUGCAGACCGGCGUGAAAUCACCUACAUCCGAAAACACAAACGUUACUUUACGUCGCCGAUUAAAUCAACAGAAGCAGAAUAUCAAGUUAGUGGCAAACCGGGGUGAGAGAAAACGAUGGCCCAGCUGUUCCCGAUGUAGUCAUGGAGCUUGAUCUUUCCUUGGGUGGUUUCAGCUUCGAGGUUGGGGAUAAUGUCUCCAAUGGUUAGCCCAGGCAUCUUCAGAGAGUAAGAGACCGAGUAGAAGUAACAGUGUUUUUUCUCUUUGAUUUUUGUUGUGGCAGAGAGAAGGGUAGAGGGAGAGGAGUUAUAUAAAGAGUCGUGGGCUGCUGCAUGAAGAGAACGUGGCUAGGGAGUUGAAGCAGUACUGGCUUCCUGUCAUUGGAAAUAGGCUCCUUCUCCCUCCACGUGUCCCACCAUCUUUUCUCCCUUUCUCCACCUUCAUCAUGAUCUCGUUCUAAGUUAGCUGGUAAGUAAUAUUAUCAUUAAUAAUUAGGCUAAUUAACCAAAGGGGAUGUAGCUCACAUGGUAGAGCGCUCGCUUUGCAUGCGAGAGGUACGGGGUUCGAUACCCCGCAUCUCCAUUAAAGUUGCUUUAUUUAAUUCCUCUAAUUUUUGAGAACCCCAAACUACCACCAGGCAGCAGUAAAUAUUUUUUACUUUUUACUAUACCCCGGGUAGAACUACCAUCAGGUAGCAGUAAAUAGUUUUUACCUUUUACUAUACCCCCGGGUAGUUUUGACCUUUUUAAUUUGCUGUGAUUUGACUGAUUUCCAAAACUACCCGGUAGCCAGACAAUAGUUUUUACCUUUUUAAUUUGCUGUGAUUUGACUGAUUUCCAAAACUAGCAGACAAUAGUUUUUACCUUUUUACUUUGCUGUGAUUUCUUUCCCGCGCAAUGACUUUGACCUUUUUAGUCACUCUCUCACUCAUUUUUGGCAGCUCAAACGAAAUUAGGGUUUUUGAGAAAAAGAGAAGCUAUGGAGGUCGCAGCUCAAAUCGGUCAGCUGCUAAACGACACCGUCAGCCCCGAUUGCGCAGCAGUCCGUACGGCCACCGAAGCCCUAGACCGCCUCUCUCAGCUUCCCGAUUUCCCUUACUACCUCAUCUCCAUCUCCGCCGGUAAUUUAUCAAUUUCUACUCCGAUUAAGGUUAAUUAAAUUCGUAUAGCUGCUCUGAUAGUUUUGAUAUCACUGUGAAAUGUUAAAGAAUGGUAAAAAAAAUUUUGGAAUUUUGAUUUGUGUUGGUGAAUCGAUUUCAAUACCAGGAGGUGAAAAUCAAGGUCAGAAAAUCGCGGCGGCGACGUACUUGAAAAACUUCACUAGGAAAAAUGUUGAGGGGGAUGUGUCGAGUUCGGCACCGAAAGUCAGUAAGGAGUUCAAGGACCAGCUCUUGCGAGCUUUGCUGCAAUCGGAGCCCGCGGUUGUUAAAGUUUUGGUUGAAGUGGUAUGCAAUUUCCUCUGCUGAAAUUUUACUAUGAUUAGUUUGGUUUGUGAGUUUUUGAUGUGUGAGAUUUGUUUUGGUGGCUUUGGGUGGCAGUUUCGGGUUAUUGUUGUUGCGGAGUUUGUUAAGCAGAAUUGGUGGCCUGAACUUGUUCCUGAUCUGCGAGCCGCUCUUGAGAAUAGUAACCUUAUUAGUGGCGCAAAUUCACAAUGGAACACGAUUAAUGCCCUUAGAGUUCUUCACGCACUUGUUAGACCUUUUCAGGUAAUUGAUAUGUUCGAUUCAAAUUGAUGUGGAAAACAGUUAGGGAUUGACAAUUACAGAAAAGAAUGUAGGGAUAUUAAGUGGGAAUAUGUGCUUAUAGUUCGGGGAGUUGGUUUCAGAAAUGAUGGUCAGUAAUCUCAAGUAUCAAAUAAGAAUUUAUGUAGCGCAGGUAUAAACCACAGUCUUGAUGCUACUUUAUGAUCUUUGUAUGCUAUAAAAUUAAAAUUUUCAUUUUCGUUCAUCCUUCUCUUCCUAAUUUUGACUGGUUACAGAUGCAUCAAAUCAGUUUUAUUUUUGAUUUUUUUCCAUUUUAUCCUGUAGUUGCAAGUGACUUCUCGUCUACAUAUUGACUUUCAUUUCUCAAUUUUCCGGAUUCGCUGGAAUACCAGUGUCUGACCAUAGUAUAUUCUUUAAUAUAUGUUUGUAAUAUUAUCACUGAGGGGCCUCUCACAUGGUAAAGUGGCAUAUACACCACACCUUUUUUGGCAGUAUUUUUUGGAGGCUACAGUUUCUAAAGAGCCAGUACCGCCACAGCUUGAGCUAAUUGCAAAGGAUAUUCUUGUGCCUUUGUUAACAUUAUUCCAUCAAAUUGUCCAAAAGGUUGUUAUCUUUUACACUUCUUUACCCUCAUUUCCCUCAUGCCCUUUCUGAUCUUCCACGAGACCUUACAAUGAUGGAUUCUAUGUAUCAUAUAGGCAUUGGGUACUCCUGGCAUGACAGACAUGGAAACAGAAAAUUUGCUUCUGAUUGUCUGCAAAUGCAUGUAUUUCACUGUAAGUAAGGCUCUUUUUAUGACUAUGCAAUAUGUAUACAAGUUUAUUUGCUCAAUCUUCUUUUCAUCCCCACACAUCUGUUUGUGUUUAUUAGUAUAUUUUAUUUGGUAUUAUGGUUGUUUCACUUUUUAGUAUUUGACAUAGUGUUAUGUUGAUAGGUGAGGUCGCAUAUGCCAUCUGCUUUAGUGCCUCUUCUACCUUCGUUUUGUCACGAUCUAAUUGGCAUUGUUGAUUCUUUGAGCUUCGACUGCGUGGUAACACCAGAAAAUGGGUACCAGAUGAGGUUAAAGACUGGAAAAAGAAGUUUGCGCAUUUUCUGUACUCUCAUUACUCGACACCGAAAGUAUUCUGAUAGGUAAUUAAACAGUGCUGUAUGUAGUUCUCUUACACAAAAGGCGUUGUUGUGCUUAUUAUUCAUGUUUUGUACUUUUUUACAUUUUUAGGUUGAUGCUAGACAUGAUAAAAUGCGCUCUGAACAUAGUCAAAUACAGCAAGAAUAUCAGCGUAAGUUUUGUAUUGAAAUUUGUUUUUCAUCAUGUUUGAUCUUGAUGUUUAAUUUGAUUAUGUCUCAUUCUGUUCCGUGUGCAGAAGAUUGACUUUUUAUCGGAGAGGGUCCUUUCAUUGUCUUUUGAUGUGAUAUCACACAUUCUUGAAACAGGGCCUGUAAGUUUCUUACUCCUGAAUGCUGUAACUCCCAUGGAACAUUAGAGAACUGAAAGUCUUUAGAAUGAAUAUUGUCAAAUUUAAGAAGCACAUGUUCUUUCUUUAAAUCAACCUACUUUCAUUUUCAGGGAUGGAGAUUAGUUUCUCCACAUUUUUCGUAUCUAUUGGAUUCUGCAAUCUUUCCGGCGUUGGUAAUGAAUGAAAAGGUAAGUGUUCGGGACAGUUAUGUGUAUGUGUGUUUAAUAUCAGCUUAAAAAUGCUUCCAAGUAAAAUUUCUUCUAAUCCCCGUUUAUUCUGCCAAUGGAUUCAAGUAGGAUAUCUCAGAGUGGGAAGAAGAUGCAGAGGAGUACAUACGAAAGAAUCUUCCAUCUGACCUAGUAAGGGAGCUUAUGUUUUUAUGAUCUUUGAUGUGAUUCAUUUACCAUUUGACCUUUUACGUACUUUGUUUUUGAACAGGAAGAAAUUUCUGGCUGGAGGGAUGAUCUAUUUACUGCCAGAAAAAGUGCUAUAAACUUACUCGGUGUUAUUUCAAUGUCAAAGGUUACUCCUAUGUGCUCCUUGAUGAAUAUAUAUGGGCAUGUAUUUUAAACAGCAUGUGAUUAUGGUUUUCUUUGAAUGUCUACAGGGACCUCAAAUGGGAACUUCUUCUAAUGCCUCAUCAGCUUCAUCAAAACGCAAAAAGGGUGAAAAGAAGAAGCAAAACAAUCAAACUUGUUCAGUUGGAGAACUAGUGGUGCUUCCAUUUCUGUCAAAGUUUCCAAUUCCUUCUGAUGCUAAUCCAUCCCAAACUAGAAUUACGAAUGAGUGAGUUCAUAAACACAUCCUUACAUAAAUAAUUGUUGAUGUUGGAACUGUAUGUCUUCUGCGCUUUAGAAUUUAUUAGUUUCAAUUUAUUAUUCUUUUUCUAUUGUUACCUUUCCUUUCCUUUUCAUUUCUUUUUAAUUUAUUUUAUUGUACAUCUCUUUAUGAAAUUUUUUCAGUUCCUGUUUGUUAUCACCAUAUUCUGUUUUGUGUGUCGCACUAUUCUCAUAUUAAUGUGGACACUUCAAAUUUAUUUUUGAUUAUUUUAUUAUGACCAUGGCAGCUAUUUUGGUGUUUUGAUGGCAUAUGCUGGCUUGCUAGAUGUAAGGAUUUAUCCUCCUGUUACUUCAUAAUUUUGUAAAUUGAGUUAUAAAAGAGUCUGUAUUGAAGAUUUGUACUCGUUUUAUUGUUAUACAGUUUCUAAGGGAGCGGGAACCUACAUAUGCAGCUACUUUGGUUCAAUCUCGGCUACUACCAUUGUAUAAUUUAUCAGUGUGCCCACCGUUGGUUGCCACUGCAAACUGGGUGUUGGGAGAACUAGCAUCGUGUCUACCUGAGGUGAGACUGUUCCAUACCCCACCAUCUGCUUUGCUUAUGCAUUAUUUAAAUCAAAAGUCGAUCUAUGCAUUUUUGGCCAAACCAUCAAGAACAUUUAUGCAUUUACCUACCUAAUAUUUCGAUAUACUUCCUUGAAAACAGCAUUUUAUUUGUGAUAGCCCACACUGAUUUUAUCUCAUUUUCAGGACAUGAGUGCAGAUGUGUAUUCCUCGUUGCUGAAGGCAUUGGCUAUGCCUGAUAGCAGGGAUACUUCUUGUUAUCCAGUGCGGGUAUCGGCUGCUGCAGCCAUUGUAACACUUCUUGAUGUAAGUCGCAAAAUCAUUCCUGUACUUGUGGAUUAAACAACAGCAUUAUGGCUUUAACUGAUCUUAUAUUCUUUCUUCAGAAUGACUACACACCACCUGAGUGGCUUCCUCUCCUUCAAGUUGUUAUUGGUAGAAUUGGCUGUAACGAGGAAGAGAACUCUAUUUUAUUCCAGCUUCUUAGUUCUGUGGUGCAGGCGGGAAAUGAAAAUGUUGCAGUCCAUAUCCCAUAUAUUAUUUCAUCAUUGGUUGUGGAAAUCUCAAAAUGCAUGCCCCUUGAUCUGGAGCCAUGGCCUCAAGUAUGUCGAUCCUUUUAGUCUGUAGGCUGGUAUUUUCUUUAUUUUCUUUAUUAACACGUUAACCAUCUAGUGAUCGAUGCACCUGAAUACAGAUUGAAACAGUGCCAUAGAAUACUGAUUCACGUCACAAAAUCAAAUACACUGUGCUUGAUCAAUUUGAAGCUGGUUUUUUUAUGCAUAGAGUUGAUUUUUCCCCUUACAUUCAUGCUUCCACUUUUAUAUAGUAUGCGCUAUACAUUUUGUUCAAUUUGUUGCUUGCAUUGGAAUUAUGGUCCCCAAGUUAUCGUAAUUUUUUAUGAAGUAAUAACCUGUACCAAUUUCAACUAUCAGUUUAAUACUGAUGAAGUGGCACCGUUUAUAUCAGAUGGUUGAAAGUGGUUUUGCGGCAUUAGCAGUGAUGGCUCAAAUUUGGGAAAAUGAUAUGUCUGAAGAUCUGGAAGAGAAUGAAUCCAACCAUAACUUUCUAUUAGGUCAAGCUACUAUUGGCAGAGCUUUCUCUGAUCUCUUGCAACGGGCUUGGCUUGCACCAAUGCAUCGAUCGGUUAGUUUCUGCUAUUAAAUAUUUGGUUCACAAAGUCCAUUUUCUGGCACUUGCGCUGUUCAGUCAAUCAUUAAUUUAUACUUCAAUCAGUUUGGCAUAGGCAUCUGGGUUUCAGAUCGUCACAUUUGUUGAUUUCUGUUACUUGACCAGGAUCAGGAAGAUAACACUUUGCCACCUCCAUCUUGCCUAGAUUCUGCAUCAACGUUGCUUCGAUCCAUCAUGCUAUCUGUUACUGGAAGUAAUGUUAUUCUAGAGCUUAAAGUGCCAGAGCUAUUAUUAGUUUGGGCUGAUCUCAUUGCGGACUGGCAUGCUUGGGAAGAAUCUGAGGACAUGUCAGUCUUUGAGUGCAUUAAGGAAGUUGUCAAUCUACAUAAUAAGUAUGGGCUGCAGAAUUUUAUUGUAGGACAGAUGCCAUCUCCUCCAGCUCCACCUGUUCCCAAGCAUUCUGUGAUAGAAGGUAUUGGUACUUUUAUAAGCGAGGCCACUUUACAAUAUCCAUCUGCAACAUGGAGGGCUUGCUCUUGUAUCCAUUUGCUGCUACAUGUCUCAAGUUACUCAUCUGAGACAGAAAGCGUGAAGCAGUCAUUAGCAGCAGCAUUUUGUCAGGCGACAUAUUCCCAUUUCAGAGAAGUUAAAAGCAAGCCUGGAUCUCUGUGGAAGCCUUUGUUGCUUGCUUUAUCAUCAUGCUAUUUAUGCUGUCCUGAAGUUGUAGAGAGUACAUUGGAAAAGGAUGGAGAUGGAGGCUUGGAAACCUGGGUAGCUGCCCUCGGAAUGAUCUCCACCAACUCUUUCAAACCUGGGCUAUCAAGAGAGUCGGAGAUAAAGUUGAUUGGUAAGUAUAUUUGUAGCUAAAUCUUUAGGAGAAGACUUCCUUCUGCUAGGUUCUUAGGUUCUCCUUUGAUUAGAAUUUACCGCUGAAUAGUCAUCUGGAAUAAUUCAUAUCCACAAAGGUUAACAGAUAAACAGCUGAUGAUUUAAUGACUUGUAUAACAUCACUAAUUGUUCUCAAUAAACCUCAGCGAUGGCACUGGCAAAAGUGGUUGAGCGACUUCUGAUACUCGGAAAGCCUGGUUCUCUGCUUCGAGAAUGCUUUACUUCUCUGAUGGAAGCAUCUGCUCGAUUUAAUGAAGUUGAGGAAGAUAACGAUGAAGAUGAAGUAGAUAUAAUUGAUGAAGAUGAAGAUGGUGAAAUAGAAGAUGAUGACGAUGAUGAAGUAAGUAAAUGUAUUAGUCUGUAUACUGCUUAUCAAUAGCAGCUGAUAUGCUGCAAUUUAACUUUCACUAUCUGAGCUACUCCAGCUAGACUUUAAUGAUAUAAGUUGGCCCCUCAGAUGUUAGGAAAGUUAACCGUCUUAUGCCUGUUUAGGACUCGGAGGACGAUGAACAUGAAGAAACUGAAGAAGAGUUCCUGAAUCGAUAUGCUGAAGCUGCUCUUGCCUUGGAAAAUGGUUCAGUUAUUGAAGAGGGGGAUAUCGAAGAUGAAGACCAGGAAAUGGAUUUUGAGAAAGGUGCAUAUUUCUCGCUACUGAAAAGUGCGUUAUUGACUACUUUAUAGGUGCAUUUUGUUGCUGAAGUUUUGAUUUGUCUGCUUUUCUCAUGGUGUGUCUUGCAGGCUGCCUAGAAGAAAUUGAUCUGCAAGAAGCUGUCACUUCACUUCUACAGAAGUACCAUCCCAUUCUCAUAGAACAACAAGAGGCAUAUCCACCAGAGCUCAUUUCAAGAUUUGUAGAGUCCAUCCCGCAGUGUAAGAUUUUCUUUCAGCAUUAUUCUAGGUGAGCAAAGCAAGUGUGAUAUGAUUGCUGAGUGUUGAAUUCCGUGAUUCUUUUUCUUUAACCAUAUCUAACUCGAGGUCCGUUUGGAAAAAAUCUGCCACAAGGCUCGAUAGUGCAAAGGCAAGAAAUAGUGAAGAAAAGGAACAAUUUACCAGACAGGCAAGAUCUCGUUUUUGUUUUGUUGAAUAAGCUAGUUCGUCUCCAGUUGACUUAUAUAGUCCUAGGUCUAGAAAACACGAUUGAUAUAGUUCCACUGUGGCUAGACCAUAGGGCAAUAUGCUGAACAGAACCGCGGUUCACUCGCAAGUCUAAAGGGAUUCAGUCGAAGCCAGAAACUCGUCUAUUAUGUUUGAAAAGAUUAGCAGAACCAAUUUUCACAACAAUAUGCUUGAUUUUAAGCUCAAAUGACCAACCCGGAAACAAACCCCAGGGGCCAUAUUCCUCCAGCAUCCAACUUAGUCUAAGAUUAAACCCUAGACACGAACUCCACUAAUGGAAGUUGCAUUAUGUGGUCUUGGAAACCAUCAUCGGCCAUUUCAAAGCAAAUCUAAAGUUUCAUUAAUGUCAUAGCAGUCUCUUUCUUGUAUGACAAUGGCUUUUCUUUCCAAUAUAGUGUAGCAAGCUCUAAAUUAUACGGCAGAAGUAAUUAUUCCAAUAUCAUUCCAGAUUGCAGUAGCCAAGAUUGUAGACAACCAUUUUCACCAGCGCCUUGUAGAAUUAUCUGAACUACGUAUGAUUACUAUACCUGGGCAAGACAAGUUUAAACAACAAAACGUAAAACGCAAAACUGAAAGGCAAUGCCAGGGUAUCAAAAAUAUUACCGCAACUGUCCAAUGUCGAUGCUAGGAAACUUACACAGAACUUUCACCCACACAACAUUACUACAAAGUUAACUAUAUAUUAUUAUUAAUAUUAAGAAUAACUUAAAAAAAGACAAAGAACUUAAUUAAACAUAAUAAUGAACAGUGCUGGAAAGUAGAAACUGCCCUAAGCUAAGCACUCGGUAAUUUCUUCCAGUCUCUCGUCAUCCCGGGUUCCCCGCUUAAACAUAAUCGAGUAAACAUCUGCUAGUACUGUUUCAUUUUCUCAAACUUGAGGUUCAUGUCAUUCGCCAUUUGUCUCAUGAAUGCAUCUUUGUCUUUCAUGGCUUGUUGAAUGUUGUGCUGAAUCAUAAAUACCUUGAGGAAAAACAAGUUCGAAGUUGGAUACUUGGUUCCAGAAAAUAGGCAAGUGACAUCAUAAAAAUAUCCUAGGAACCUCGAGGUCUGCUCAACCUUGAUCCAUUCAUCAAAAGAAGGACAACACUUAAAAUCUGUGUCACAUAAUGCAAAGUUGAUCAAAGCACGGCGAUAGAAGAGUGCACUAUCUAGCAUAAGAUAGGUGGAGUUCCAUUUAGUAGGCACGUCUUGUCGCAAAGCUCUCCUACUACCUCCCAUUCCAACUUGAUCAAUACAGCCCAAAAAUCUUUCCUUUCUUGCCAUUGAACCCUUAUGCACUUGAGACACUCAUGAAUCUUUAUCACUGACUGAUCAAUAGAUUUCAACCCAUCUUGAACAAUUAAGUUCAAGAUAUGUGCAUAACAUCAAACAUGAAAAAAUUUCCCAUUUAACAAGAGUAGCCCUUUAAAAUUCAACUGAGUUCUCAACUUCUCAACAAAGGAAUCAUUAGCAGAUGCAUUAUCCAAUGUAAUCGAAAACAGUUUCUUCUCAAUUUCCCACUCACAUAUCAAAGAAUUAAUCUUUUCAGCCAAAGCAAUACCAUUAUGUGGUGGAGGAAAACGAUAAAAGCUAAUUAUCUUCUUAUGCAAUUUCCAUUCCAAAUCAAUCCAAUGUGCCGUGAGUGUCAAAUAACUAUCAGUUGUUUGAGAACUCCAUAAAUCAGAAGUCAAACAAAUCCUCCCUUGAACACAACUUAAAAUACUAUGAAGCUUCAACUUUUCACUAUCAAAGAGCUUUUGUAAUAUGUGACUUAACGGUGUUUCUACAAGGCAACUUAAGAAUAGGAGAAAUAUAAUGGAACACAGCUCUAAUCCCCUCAUACUCCACAAAACGAAAUGGCAAAUCAUGUCGUACAAUAGCCUCAACAAUCAAUUCACGAAAUUUUUCAUGCGAAAACUUUGAAGAACGUGUAGAAAAAUGAGGUGACACUACAAUAUCCUUAUUAUAACAUAGGUCAUUAUGGCGUAUAAGGCUACUUGUUCCUGUCACUUUGUCACACUUAUACACGGCUCCACACUUGGUGCAUUUUGCACGUUCUAUCUGAUCAUCACCCACAGGUAACUGUUUAAAAGACAACCAACAACAAGAAGUCUUCUUUCGCUUUUGAGCAGAAACCUCUGUUGUUCCUCUUUCUACCACAACGGGUUCCUCUGGUUCCAAUGAUAUUGAUAUAUCAUCAUCAUCCAUUCUCACCACUACUCUGAAAACAAAACAAUUAAUACAUUAUCAUCAUCCAUUCUCACCACAGUUUGCAAAUAAUACACACAGUUUGCAAAUAAUCUUACUUUACAGGGUACAUAUGAAUGAAGAAUGAAAACCAUGAAUAUGAGCUAGCCCAACUAAUAUCUACGUAUAGUAAUCUCUGUAUCUACCCAGAGUAUCACACACAGUUUUUAUUCUUUAUAUAUACCUCUACAAACUUACAUGCUUCCUUAUCAAAAACACAUUCCUAUUUUCUCACCAUUUUCCUAGUACUACUCCGAUCCUCUCGUUUUCCUAAACAAGAACCACAAAACGAUGAUUGAAAUCAAUCUUCAUUCAUCUAGAAUCCAUGAAUUGAUAUUGCCCAGAAAGCAAACCAAACACAGCAAACUCACAAACACCAAAUGCACAAAAUUAAGAACCCACAGAACAGAUCCAGUUCAAAUUUUGACUAAAAACAAUAAAUCUAGAAGAGUAAGGAAACAAAAACCAACCUGAAUUUUGAUCCGAAGAGGGAGAAAGACUGGCACGGUUUGUUUCUGAAGAGGGAGAAGACCGAGAGAGUGACUGUUUCGAUCUGAAGAGAGAGAGAGAGUGCUAACUGCUUUAAUUUUUUUCUUCCUUUUUUUUUUUUUCCUUAGCGGGUUGGGCGGGUCGUUUCCUCCCGUUAGUUAACGGGUUCUUAGCAGGUUGUCAACCCGUUAGUGUAAAACUGUAAUGGGACAGAAAUGGGCAGGUUAUUAACAGGCGGUUAGCGGGUAAUGGGUUAAACUGCCAGGUCUGAAUGAACAAAAAAAUGAGAUGGUGGGACGCAAGGAUUCGAACCUUGAUCUUCUCAAGAUCUUGAGACUUGCAUAUGCAAGUUACAAGCCUGAGAGCUCUGCCAUAUUUGAGCUACAUCCCAUUAACCUAACCUAAAUGCCUAAUUCCUAGUUAUCCUACUAAUGCAUGUUGGUCACCAAUUAUAGUUUUCCAUUUGUUACUUUCAACAUGCAAACCAAUCCCUACUUGUAGAUACAUAUCCUACAAAACCAUACAUAUCCUACAAAACCUAACGAGAUGCACAUCAUUACAUAGAAGAACUCCUGUCUAAGCCAGAACCAAUUCAACAAAUUCGGCACGAAGACAAUCCACCCCCCAAAGAAACCAACUCCAUCGAUUACAAAACAGUGUAAAGGGAACCAAUGAGAAGAAAACUGGAAGAGUAAUGCAGCUAACAAGCCAUCAAUUGGAAAAUUACACAACCACAUGCACAACAUCACCAAGUACAAACACGAUCCCCUUGUUGUGACACCAUAAACCAACACCAAUCCAAGCCAAUUCUUCAGUAAUGAAACCACAACAUCAACCGGUCAUCAUUUCACAAGUUCUUCCGACACUUGACAAGUACAGACAGUACAUCAACCAACACUUUGGACAACAAGAAGACAUAUCACCAAAGGAAGAAUUAUGCCACUGUUUCACUAAUAUACAACAACCAACUCCACAGGCAACCAAAAAGAUGCACCAUGAUCACGCACUAUAAAACUAUAUUCCAUCAUGCACGCUAUCAAGUUGAAAAGACACAAUCAAAGUUAAAAAGAGAUUUCACCAGGCUCCACAUUCAAAAUGCUCCACACUGAAAGAACAACCAUACCAAAAAGCAGCUUCCCACGUAUCAAUGAUACGAACUGAAAACUUCAAAACUUCGUUCCACCUCUUACAACAGAAGCAAAGAAAACCACAAAGAGAUGAAGCUGUGCCAAACUUCAAAACCCAGCAGCUUAACAUGUUUAAUUAACCCUCUUUAAGAUUCAGCAGCAUCAGUAGUUAACAGGCAACAGGAUAGAUACCAUACCUAUCUGAACUCCUCUAGCAAUAAAUUAUGUUCCAGAAAUAAUAUUGAUAGUUUACAUACUAGCAUGUCACGAGUUGAAAUUUGCAUCCAUCCUAAAUGUGACACAUCACAAAGAUAUCCUUCAUCUAUUGAAUGCCCAAAGAGUAAAUGUAUGAAAUUAAACCGAGACAAAAAGCAUCAAACCUUACUGGACAAAAGCUUCAACAGCCUUCUCUAACAACCCUGCAAGGCACAGCCAAUAAAAAUAAAACACAAAUGGAUGAUAUAGUGCCAAACCAUUUUUGAAAAAUAGUUGGGAAAGGCGAAACAGCAAAACCAGUAUAGCAGAAACAUACAUGAUCCAACUCACCAGCCAAUAUAAACACAGCAGGCGCCAAAAUUAGUAUGUAGUGGAAAGUAAUCUAAAGAAAACAAUGAAUGAGAUGAGUGGUAACCAAUAAGGAACCACAUUAGGGGCAAAGAUUGGACAAAAAACCAUACUAGAUCUGUACCAGAGCAGACAGCUAAAUUAAUAAUCAAGAAAAAGAUCACGACUAGCCUUUCAGCACAAAAAAAAAAAAAAAAAAAAAAAAAAAAAAAAAAGAAAGUAAAGGAAAGAACGAAGUUAAGAGAGACAGCCCAUUUGGAACACGUAAUUGAAGUCCUGCCAUCAAUUGCAGCCUGGACUCCGCCCCAGCCAAAACCAAGAACACAUCUGAAAAAUAAUAAUAAUAAUAAUAAUAAUAAUAAUAAUAAUAAUAAUAAUAAUAAUAAUAAACUCACAAAAGGGUUUGGAAUAGAAUGAAAGAACGAAAAGUUCAUCGUGGAAACAAAGGGCACAAGCAGAUGAAACACCCCACUGGUAGCACAGCCUAAAACGACGCAGAUGAAAAACUGUGAUUUCUAUAGUUACUAUAAUCCAAAGAGACCAAAACAAGGAAUCAAUAAUGAAUAAAAUUAAGAAAUACUAAUAUCACAAAUGAUGAAACCACAAAGCCUCUAACCUUGACCACCGCAGACAGCUCCUUAAUCAAUACCAACAAAUCAUCUACAAGAGAAUAUUAUAUAAAAAGUAAUAUAAACAAUAGCUGAAAGCAGGAUACCAGAAAUCAAAAGGAAACCAGUUAAUCAGAACUCUUUUUUUUUUUUUUGGUCUGACAGUUGAUCAGAACUCUGGAUGAUCAUAUAUGGACCGCAUCCUUCACCAGCCCAAUCCUAAAGCACAAAAAUAAAAAAAACCAUAAUGCACCACAACCAAGAUCUGAACAAAUUAAUGAAUUCUUGAAACCAAUGUACUUGUUCAACGACAAUUCAGCUAUAUAGAACAUUUAGUAAAAUCAAGCAAGCAAAAUAACAAUAACACCUCUAAUAUCCACCUAUAACCGGAGAACGAUAAUGACAAAAUUUAUCUAUAAUAACAGAAUAUCAGGACUCAAUAUUAAAACAAUUGAGAACAAAAGCAGUUUAAAGGAACAUUCUACCACAAAAGUAAGUAAUCAGAAAAGAUCUUUUUACUGUCUAACAAAGAAAUGAGUUGACCCCCAGGAUGUCGAGGAGAUAUUUGAUUACUACUUCAAAACCCUGAAAUACACAUGCAGAACAUAAUACCAUCGAUACAUAUUACAUUCAAUACAUACCAGAAAAAGCUUUCAAGAACUACUGUAAAAUCAAGAUGCUCUGUGCGUAUGACAUCAGAAGAUUGACAUGUAAUGUCAAACUAGAAAGGUAACCCAAAACCAGAUGUAAGUAAUGCCAAACAAUUUUAAACCCAGAUAGUUUGAUUUCUUGGUAGGACCAAGUCGUAUGAUUUGGACAUUGAAUCAAAUUCAACCAGAAGUAUCUGUAGAAAACGAAAAAGAAAACGAAAAAGAAUUCACAAAAGUGUAUGAAAGAUAAUAAUAUAAAGGACCAAUAGUCAUAAAUACAUGGGAUGAGCCCCAAAAAACAAAAAAUCACAGAAAUAGACUGAAGAUAUAAAGAACAAAUAGAAACCAGGAUCCCAACUAGACAGAACCGCACAAAUUCUGACCUUGAGUAAACCAGUCCCUGGGACACGUCAAUAUAAUGUAUAGUAUUAGUUCAUGUAGUCACAAAAAAGCAUGCAAUUGAGCCCGAAACAUAAGAUCACAGAAGUAGACUAAAUAUAUGAAGAACAAAUAGAAACCAGGAAACCAACUAGACAAAACCUUUAAAACCUCUGACUUGGUGUAAAACAGUCCCUGGACACAUCAACAAAAAGUAUAGCAUGAGGCCAAAAAAAAAAAAAAAAAAAAAAGGUUAAUAUGAAAGAUGUAUAGAGCAAAUAGAAAGUCAUAAACCUAUUAGACCCACACACACUGACUUGGUGUAAAAUGUAAUUAGACGAACCACACACUCUGACUUGGUGUACACCAGUCUCUAAUGUAUUGUAUUGGCCCACCUUAGAAGUCGCACGAAAUAGGAACAUGAUGAUCACAAACAAGUUUAAAAAAUACAAUUAAUAAUAUAACAAUAGUAACUACAAAAUAGGUUUUGAGAAGAAAUUAAAUCACAGGGACCACUGAAGCCAGAGCUCAUCUCAUUAAUAUAGGUAUGGACAGUAACCUUCACCAGCCAAAUCCUAAGACACAUAAAAGAAACAUACAUGAUGCUGCAGAAUUAAAGUUGAAGUCGAAAUGAAGUCAAAGGCCAAGAAGGCAAGUAGUUUGGAAGCAUGAAAAACAGAUUUAACCAAUAAAGCCAAAGCUCUGCCCGUUGUAUGUCGAGACUCCAUCCACCAGCCAAUCCUAAUAUAUAUCAAUAGAUGCACCACAUUCCAAAUUGAAUCAACAAGAAUUCAAGUGAUAAAAUUAAAAAGAGGGAUAGAUGCAUCACAAUCCAAAUUGAAUCAAAAGGAAUUUGAGGAUAAAAUUAGUAAAGAGUAAAUGGAUCCAUCAUCAAACCACUAAACAAGACAACACAAUACUCCGCUAUAGACUUGGGCAGCCAUCACCCUCAAAUAAGCCAAAUCCUGAACAAAAACCACAACAGAACUGCAUUAUAACCAAAUCAUCCAACCACAAAAACAACAAAUCAAGGAUAGGAAAGGAAUUGAGUUAAUUGCUGAAACAAAAAACCAAAUCACAAGAUGGAUAGGCAUCAUCAAAAACAAGACCUCAAUAACCACAGAGAUAUACAUCAUAAGCCCAGCAGCAACAAAAACCCACUCCUGCAUAAAUCCUUACUCCUAGCCACAUCCAAGUACCAACAUAUAGGCAAAUUAGUAUGCUUGCAGUAGUACCGAACUGUUUUUAAGAACUGGAGAACAAUUUACAAAAUUCAGCCGCAAAUAGAAAUACUAAACAGAAAAAAGCAAAAAAAAAGACACCAAUCAUUUUCAGAAAAGAUGAAAGAUUAGAAGGAAAGAACAACUAGCACCAACCAGAGCUACAGCUUGGUAAGCCAAUCCCAUGAGAGAAAAAGGAAUUCAAGUAAAAUGACAUUACUAACAAAUGAGAAAGAAAGGCGGAAAGGUUGACCCAAUAAACCAAUUGAAACCCCGUAUCCUGCUUGUAUAGCCACUGCAAACCCUGCAGCCAAAAUUGCAAGAUUCUCCUAAAAACAAUAACAACUCGAUCUCAACCAGUGAACAGAAUAGAAACUGAAAUAAAGAAUAUAAUUUUUUAGAGAAAUAAAAAGUUUCCCAAAGCAAUAGAGCCAAAUCACGUAAGCACUUCCCAGCACUUACACCUACCAAGAUACCAGCAAAAUCCUAAGCUCACAAAGAUAGGGAUUGGGAAAGAACAAAAGAUAUGUAUUAUAAAAAACCAAUUGCCAAAACACAUGAAGCAUCACAGCUCCUUAGAUAAAAAAAAAACAGAAAAGCUUAAAACAGAGAUGAAAAGCUUAACCCGCUUAGACCAAAAACAUGCAAACAACAAAGUAUCAACAACUAUUGGAGGAAUGAGUUGAUCACGCCUGGGAACAGAACUCCUAGCCACCACCAGCGAGCCAUAUCCUAAACCAACAGGAACAAAAUCCACCCAUAAAUCCAUCACUGGACUUUACAAGACAGCCAGAAAAGCAUGCAUCACAUUAUAGUUUUGAGCAGUUUUAAGAGGAGGGUAGUGAAAGCAGAUUUAACCCCCGUCAACCGUUAGCCCACGUACAGCAAACAGACUAUGAACUGCACACUUUCCCCAGCCAAUUCCUGGACACAUUAACAAAUGGAGAAUAUGAGGCAGGUUCCGAGAAAAAGAAAUCAUACUUCAAUCUCUGCAACUAAUAAUUACAAUACCAUGUCUGCCAUAUAGAACCUCAUCAGCAAUCAUCAUCUACCACCCAAGUCGUAAGUCAGACAACAAAAACCAAAAUUGAUCUCCAUUACGAUAUAAAGCAAGACGGAUUAUUUCAACAAAGCAACUGGUUGACCGAUGAAACCAGCUGGAAAACCCAACACCCUGCCACCCUGCUCAUAUAACCAAAAUUGAUCUCCAUUACAAUAUAAAGCAAGACGGAUUAUUUCAACAAAGCAACUGGUUGACCGAUGAAACCAGCUGGAAAACCCAACACCCUGCCACCCUGCUCAUAUAGCCAUUGCGAACACCGAAGCCAAAAUUCCAACAUUCUCCUAAUGAAACACCAAUAACAACUCAAGAUAAACCAGAGCAGACAUCUAAAGAAACAAAGGCGAAACGAUAAAUAGAGGAGGAGGAAGAGAUGUUGAAUGCCAAACCAAAUACACCCGAAUGGCGUGACUACCCUGCAUUUGCACCUAGCGAUAUACCAACCAAAUAAUAAUGUUAAAAAUCAAAGUAAGGUCUGGGAAAGAACUAAAAACAGAAUGGAAUAACUAGAGUUCAGAAACCAAAAGAGAGCCGAAGCAUGAUACACCACAGCUGCUUACAAGCCAUCGCAAGCACAACCUACACCAGAGCAAGCAAAAACUUGAAAACGUGCCAAAAGCAACUACUACUGAGAAAAGAUGAGUCCAAACAAACAUGCGUACAAAACCAAAGGUAGAAAGGAUGAUUCCAUCACUGAAUACAUAUAAAGCUGGGAACAAAAACUUCAAGCCGCCACAACCCCUAAACCAAUAGAAACCAAAGUCCAUCAAUAACUCAGACCCUCAGACACAGAGCACAAACUAAAUGAUUUCAAGAAAGGUAAAGGCAGAAGAUAGUCUGUAAACCAAUAAAACCCGAAGGUCUUCCCAUCAAUCUGGGUACGGACCGCAGCUUCACACAUCAAAUCCUAAAAGCACAUCAUUAAAUCGUGAUGCAUCCCAAUCCAUAUCAACUUAGGCAGAAGUACAUUAAAGGAUGAUUCAAUCUCAGCAACCAAUUAACCGAUUUACUAAACCAUGUUUGCUUAUCACAGAGCUCAGCAGCCACCAUCAGACAUCCUAAAACCACACCAACAAAACCACAAUCGAUCUCCAUCAAAAACUGAAGCAUCCAACCACUUAAUAAUUCUAAAUAGGUUUGAAAACUCAAAAGGUAGGAGUUAGCAAAUUUGAUCCCUGUUAAACCGACUAAUGCCGAUGUUCUGCCCAUCACUAAACAUGUACUGCAGCCCUCACCGGCCAAAUCCUAAAAACACACAUCAAUAAAAUUCAUGUUUCAUCAAAUCAAAUCAGGAAGGUCUUCUGAAGAAUGAACCAAAUAAAAAAAGCACUAUUUCCAUCUCUGCAAACAAUGAGAACCGAAUCGUUUGCUUGGUAUAGACCUCUGCAGAGCCAUCACCAUCAAACUAGUUCAACCCUACAUCACACCAACAUAAAAACCACAAUUGAUCUCCAUCAAAACAAGAUCCCGACCACAAACACAACCGAAUCAAUGAGUUGAUAAGAAAAGAAAAGAACAAGUUCACCGCCAAGAGCAAUAAACCUUGGGCUCAUAACAUGGACAGCCGUAACACAAAUAAAAACCCUGAGACAGCACAGCAGCAAAAACAUAAUCAAAUUUGAAAUCUUAAAAAACCAAAGAAAGAAAUCAUGGAAGAAGAAAGAAACUCUAAACCUGACAGCACAUUUUCUAACACGGGGGACGGAUGUAAAGAGGCUACGGGGUUCUCAUUAUGGGGGACAAUAUAGAGGCUGGGAUAGAAGGAAACAACUAACCAACUGAAAUCCCCAGAUCAUGCUUGUAUAGCCAUUGCACACACUGCAGCCAAAAUUGUAAAAUUCUACUGAAGAACACCAAUAACAAACUAUAUCUAAUCCAAAGCGGACACCAAACGAAAACAAUAAGAGGAAAAACACAAAAAAGAGAGAUAAUUUGGAAAAAAGAACAGUUGAUUAUCAAACCAAAUACAGCCGGUAUCACAAAAGCUAUUCCCAGGCAAAUGUACCUACCAAAAUACCAGAAAUCCGAAAUUCACAAGUGUUUGGACAAGAAUAAAAUAUAAUUGAGAAGAAUUACAAAAAUAAUUGCAAGAACACAUGAAGCCCCACAGCUCCUCAGUAGCCACAGUCCACAACCAACAAACCCGCACACCUAAAACAGAGCAAUAGAAAACUUGACCCACUCUGAACUAAAAAGUGCCAUUAACAAGGUAUCAAUAAAUAUUGAGAAGGAAUGAGUUGAUCACUGAAACCAAUUAACCAAUUAAGCCUGCGUACAGAACUCCUAGCCACCACCAGCGAGCCAUAUCCUAAACCAACAUGAACAAGAUCCAUGACUCUAUCUUACAAGGCAGCCAGAGAAGCAAACAUCACAUAAUCGAUUUGAAAAGUUUUAAGAGGAAGGUAGUGGUAGCAGAAUUAAGCUGUGUCAACUGACAAAAGCCAACACUGUGCACGUGUAUAGACUGCAGGCCUUCACCAGGCAAUUCCUAAACACAUCAAUAAACGCAGAAUCAGGCAGAUUUUGAGAAAAAUAACCAUCUUUGCAACCAAUUAAAUAAUUUACUAGACCAUGUUCACCAUAUAGGACUCGGCAGCGAUCAUCAAACCAGCCAAAUCCUAAAACCACAAUUGAUGUUCAUUACAACCGUAUUUCAGUAUACAUUAGAUUUUUAAAAAGUUGAAAGUUAAUAAGAGGGAAUGAUUUGACCGAUGAAAGCAACUGAAAAACCCCGAGAUCCGAUCAUGCUUGUAUAGCCAUUGCAAAUGCCCGAGAUCCGAUCCUGCUUGUAUAGCCAUUGCAAACGCCGCAGCAGCCAUAUUUCCAAUAUUAUCCUAAUGAACACCAAUAACAACUCAAUCUAAACCAGAGCCUAUGUCAUAAAAAAACAAGAAACAGGGUAUAAAGAAAAAAAAGAAGAGAGAGAGAGAGAGAUUUUGAGAGAAAGGACGGUUGAUUGCCAAGCCAAAUACAUCCGAACCAUAGGCUUUCCACCUACCAAUACACCAAUCAAAUCCUAAAGUCAAAAUCAAAAUCAAAACAGGUCUGAGAAGUAAAAAAUUGCAACAAUUUGAGUUAGGAAACCAAAAGGGGCGAAGGAAACAUACACCACAGCUGUCUACUAGCAUCACCAGCACAUCCUAUACAGAGCAAGUAAACCCUUGAUGAUCCAUUUGGAAAUAACAUAUACAAACUUAAUUUCACUCAACUUAGAUAUUAUGCAGCGAAGCUAGGUCGUGCCAAUUAAGCUUGUUAACGAUCCCAGUUUAUUAUCAAAUUGAUGCAAAGUAAAUGGUGCGAUUAAUCUUGAAACGAUGGUAGCUGUAAAUGGAUGCCAAAACAGAUAGAGAAGAAAUUAGUAGAUAUAAGUUGAUGACUGCCAAAACCAAGGUACAAAGACCGCUUUGACCACUGAAUCCAAAUAAAGUUGGGAUAGAACUCCUAGCCUCCACCAACCAGCCGUGCCCUAGACCAACAGGGAACAAAAUACAUCCAUCACUCAUAUAACAGGAGAGAGAAAAAGUUUGAUUGUCUAUAAGGGAAGGUAAAAAUAGCAGAUUAAACCCGUGUAAGCUGAUAAAAGCCAAAGUCGAAGCCUUCACCUCCCAAAUCCUAAAAUACAUCAAAAGGAUCGAUGCAUCAAAAUCCAUCCCAAACCAGGAAGAUUAAGAGAAGAAUAAAUGACAAUUCAAUAUCUGCAACCAAUAACCAAGUUACGAAACCGUGUUUGCUGUAUAUAAACCCUGGCAGCCACCUCCAAUCCACAUCCAAAUCCUAAAUCACACCACAAAAUCAACCUCUCCAUCAGAAUCGAAUCAUCCACCACAAUCCAAAUAUUUUGAAAGUUUGAAAGGUAGGUAAAAUUAGCCGAUUUAAUCCGUGUCAAACCAAGAAGGAAAGCUGAUGCUCUGUCCAUGGCUAUCGAUCUGUACGGUCACCAUCAAAAUCGGAUCAUCCAACCACAUAAUAGUUUUCCCAAUUAGUUUUGAAGUUCAAAAUCAAAUUAGCAAAUUUAAUCCGUGUUAAACCGUUUUAAAGUCGAUGCUCUGGCUCAUCUUUAUGUGUACGGACUGCAGCCUUCACCCGCCAAAUCCUAAAACCACAUCAAUUAAACCACGAUGCAUCACAAUCUCUAUCGAAUCAAAGCAGAUUCUCAGAAGAACUAAACAAAUUAAAGUCGAUCUCUGCAAACCGAUUUAGGGAACCGUUUGAUAAUAUACGUAGCCCUGGGCAGCUAUCACCACCAAACCAGUCCAAUCCUAAAUCACACCAACACAAAAUCACAAUCGAUCUCCAUUAAAAUCGAAUCAUCCAACCAUUAACGAAUUCAUAAGAGAAGGAAGGAACGAGUUAACCGCCAAAACCAAACUGUUGCUUAAUAACAUCGGCAGAGCCAAAGCCAUCGCAACGAAUAGAAAUCCAAACC
rnacentral:lncRNA from 1 species